rnacentral:rRNA from 1 species
CGGCGGACGGGUGAGUAACGCGUGGGCAACCUGCCCCAUACGGGGGGAUAACAGUUAGAAAUGACUGCUAAUACCGCAUAAGACCGCGGUGCCGCAUGGCACAGCGGUAAAAACUCCGGUGGUAUGGGAUGGGCCCGCGUCUGAUUAGCUAGUUGGCGGGGUAACGGCCCACCAAGGCGACGAUCAGUAGCCGACCUGAGAGGGCGACCGGCCACAUUGGGACUGAGACACGGCCCAAACUCCUACGGGAGGCAGCAG